UACGUAGGGUGCGAGCGUUAAUCGGAAUUACUGGGCGUAAAGCGUGCGCAGGCGGUGAGCUGUGUCCGAUGUGAAAGCCCCGGGCUUAACCUGGGAAUGGCAUUGGAAACUGGCUCGCUGGAGUGUGGCAGAGGGGGGUGGAAUUCCGCGUGUAGCAGUGAAAUGCGUAGAGAUGCGGAGGAACACCGAUGGCGAAGGCAGCCCCCUGGGCUGACACUGACGCUCAGGCACGAAAGCGUGGGGAGCAAACAGG
rnacentral:rRNA from 1 species